UACGGGGGGAGCAAGCGUUGUUCGGAUUUACUGGGCGUAAAGGGCGCGUAGGCGGUCGUGACAAGUCACUUGUGAAAUCUCCGGGCUUAACUCGGAAAGGUCAAGUGAUACUGUCGGACUAGAGUACAGAAGGGGCAACUGGAAUUCUCGGUGUAGCGGUGAAAUGCGUAGAUAUCGAGAGGAACACCUGCGGCGAAGGCGGAUCUCUGGGCCUUACCUGACGCUCAGGUGCGAAAGCUAGGGGAGCGAACAGG
rnacentral:rRNA from 1 species